GCGCCCUUAGCUCAGUGGUAGAGCGUCUGCAUGACACGCAGAAGGUCGUAGGUCCAAUUCCUACAGGGCGCA
rnacentral:tRNA from 1 species